rnacentral:lncRNA from 1 species
UGAAUAAUAAGUUGCCAGAAAAAAGAUGAAAGAAUCAUACAAGAAGGAGAAGCAGAAGAGUGUUCCAGGCAGAAAACAGCUUGUCAGAGAUCCUGAGGUGGGAAUGAGCAAAACCGUGAGCAUCUUCUAUAGGAUUUUUUCCUUCCAUCAGACUUCAGCCUACAUGAAUAUCACAAUGAAGCAAGCAACAUAAGUACAUUCUUCUCUGAUUUGACAUCCUGGAGAGAUGCUUGCUGCAUGCCAUGCCAAAGAAUUGAACACUGAUAACAGCACAAAAGACUGAACAGUUCAUGAUCUGAAAGGAAAUGGUAUAUGAAAGCCAGAAAUAAAGGAAGCAUGCCAUUUGAACAUGAAGAGAGCCAAGGAGAGAGCCAGCUUGUCAGCCAAGGAGACAGCCAUGGAACGGAUCCUUCCCUCACACCCCACAGAAGGAUAUUGUGUCCACAAUUGGUUCCUGCCGGUGGGUUCGUGGUCUCGCUGACUUCAAGAAUGGAGCCGCAGACCUUUGCGGUGAGUGUUACAGCUCUUAAAGAUGGCAUGGACCCGAAGAAUAAGUGGUAGCAAGGUUUAUUGUGAAGAGUGAAAGGACAAAGCUUCCACAGUGUGGAAGGGGACCCGAGCAGGCUGCCACUGCUGGCUGGGGUGGCCAGCUUUUAUUCCCUUAUUGUCUUCUCCCAUGUUGCGUUUCUGUCCUAUCAGAGUGCCCUUUUCUUCAAUCCUCCCCACGAUUGUCUACUUUUAGAAUCCUACUGAUUGCUGCAUUUUACAGAGAACUGAUUGGUGGGUUUUACAAUCCUCUUGUAAGACAGAAAAUUUCUCCAAGUCCCUACUCGACCCAGGAAGUCCAGCUGGCGUCACCUCUCAAUAUAACCCUGCCAACAAUUUGAUUGCAAAUUUCUGGCCUCCACACUGAGAGACAAUAAAUUUCUGUUUAAACAACCCAAUUUGUGGUUAUUACAGCAGGCCCAGAAAAUGAAUGUAUAUAACUGUUAGUUAUUUCCUAGGUAACCCAGGGCAUGCCACUUCUUGCCUCUGGGUCUUUGUUUAUU